UACGUAGGGAGCAAGCGUUGUCCGGAAUUACUGGGUGUAAAGGGAGUGUAGGCGGGAUGGCAAGUUGGGUGUUAAAUCUACCGGCUCAACUGGUAGUCGCACUCAAAACUGCUAUUCUUGAGUGAAGUAGAGGCAGGCGGAAUUCCUAGUGUAGCGGUGAAAUGCGUAGAUAUUAGGAGGAACACCAGUGGCGAAGGCGGCUGUCUGGUCUGCAACUGACGCUGAGGCUCGAAAGCAUGGGUAGCGAACAGG
rnacentral:rRNA from 1 species